rnacentral:misc_RNA from 1 species
GAUGAAGAACGUAGCGAAAUGCGAUAAGUAAUGUGAAUUGCAGAAUUCAGUGAAUCAUCGAAUCUUUGAACGCACAUUGCGCCCCCUGGUAUUCCGGGGGGCAUGGCUGUCCGAGCGUCAUUACAACCCUCAAGCUCAGCUUGGUGUUGGGCCCCGCCGCCCCGGCGGGCCCUAAAGUCAGUGGCGGUGCCGUCCGGCUCCGAGCGUAGUAAUUCUUCUCGCUCUGGAGGUCCGGUCGUGUGCUCGCCAGCAACCCCCAAUUUUUUUCAGGUUGACCUCGGAUCAGGUAGGGAUACCCGCUGAACUUAAGCAUAUCAAUAAGCGGAGGA